UACGAAGGGGGCUAGCGUUGCUCGGAAUCACUGGGCGUAAAGCGCACGUAGGCGGAUCUUUAAGUCAGGGGUGAAAUCCUGGAGCUCAACUCCAGAACUGCCUUUGAUACUGAGGAUCUUGAGUUCGGGAGAGGUGAGUGGAACUGCGAGUGUAGAGGUGAAAUUCGUAGAUAUUCGCAAGAACACCAGUGGCGAAGGCGGCUCACUGGCCCGAUACUGACGCUGAGGCACGAAAGCGUGGGGAGCAAACAGGG
rnacentral:rRNA from 1 species